GUGCCAGCCGCCGCGGUAAUACGUAGGGUGCGAGCGUUAAUCGGAAUUACUGGGCGUAAAGCGUGCGCAGGCGGUUUUGUAAGACAGGCGUGAAAUCCCCGAGCUUAACUUGGGAAUGGCGCUUGUGACUGCAAGGCUAGAGUAUGUCAGAGGGGGGUAGAAUUCCACGUGUAGCAGUGAAAUGCGUAGAGAUGUGGAGGAAUACCGAUGGCGAAGGCAGCCCCCUGGGACGUCACUGACGCUCAUGCACGAAAGCGUGGGGAGCAAACAGGAUUAGAUACCCUUGUAGUCC
rnacentral:rRNA from 1 species